rnacentral:misc_RNA from 1 species
AAGUCGUAACAAGGUUUCCGUAGGUGAACCUGCGGAAGGAUCAUUACCGAGUUCCUGCCCUCACGGGUAGAUCUCCCACCCGUGCUUACCCUACCAUGUUGCCUUGGCAGGCCACUCCUUGAUGGAUCACUGGCUCGCGCUAGUGUGUGCCUGCCAGAGGACCCCUAAUCCUGUAUCAUUAUGCGUCGUCCGAGUUAUAUAUAAAUUUUAAAA